GACGAACGCUGGCGGCGUGCCUAAUACAUGCAAGUCGAACGCUGAAGCUUGGUGCUUUCGCCGAGCGGGUGAGUUGCUAACGGGUGAGUAACGCGUACGUCACCUUCCAGGUAGCGGGGGGUGACUAUUGAGAACGAUAGCUACUAACACAUCAGAGUAGAUGUUGCAUAAAAUUUGCUUAAAUGGUGCAAUUGCCUCACUACCAGAUGGACCUGUGUUGUAUUAGCUAGUUGGUGAGGUAACGGCUCACCAAGGCAACGAUACGUAGCCGACCUGGGAGGGUGAUCGGCCACACGGGAACUGAGACACGGCCCAGACUCCUACGGGAGGCAGCAGUGGGGAAUAUUGGACAAUGGGCGCAAGUCUGACCCAGCAAUCCCGCGUGGGUGAAGAAGGCUUUCGGGUUGUAAAGCCCUUUUGUAGGGAAAGAAAAGCUGUAGGUUAGUAAACCUCAGUUCUGACGGUACCCUAAGAAUAAGCAGAGGCUAAAUUCGUG
rnacentral:rRNA from 1 species